rnacentral:lncRNA from 1 species
AGAGAUUAAAGUUUCGUUUUUCCUUUGUUUUUUUUGGGAAAACAGGAAAAUGAAACAUUUUAAACUUUUAUUUGUCACAAUAGAACUUUUGAUACUUAGGACAAUUUUAGACAUAUUUUACCUUUUCUUUUAUGGAAAAAAUAGUAAACUAAAUUUUCAAAAUGUUAGAGAAUAUGAAAACUAUUGGAAACAUAAGUAUGACAAUAUAUAUGUUGAAAUUUUUUUUUUUUAAGUGGGAUCAUAUUUUAUUUUAUUUUCUAGCUAAAGUUAGAAUAUUUAUUCUGGUUAUCUACGUAGCCUAGAAAUCCGAUACUAAGUUUUAUACAUAAAUAUAUCCAGGAUAUAUAACGUAAACUAGAUUUUCUUAUAUAUUAUAACAUAUCUAUAAUUCAAAAUUGUUAUAAUCAAGAAAGAUGUCUUUGGUAUACCUACAGCUUGAUAACGACAUAUAGCCACAACGAAAUGAUAUACCUUAUCCAUAUUGUGUGCCAUAACUAGUUCUACCUUUUACCUUAUGUGGCGCUUAAGGAAGAAUAUGUUUCUCAUCUACUCUACUAUGUUCUGCGUAAGUUAGGAUAUAUAUAUAUAUUCUAGGGAAAUCUGGAAAAUAUGGAAAC